UCUACAUGCACCAAUCAGCACUCUGUGUCUAGCUAAUCUGGUGGGGACCUGGAGAACUUUUAUGUCUAGCUAGAGGAUUGUAAAUGCACCAAUCAGCACUUUGUGUCUAGCUAGAGGAUUGUAAAUGCACCAAUCAGCACCCUGUCAAAAUGGACCAAUCAGCCCUUUGUAAAAUGGACCAAUCAGCUUUCUGUAAAAUGGACCAGUCAGCAGGAUGUGGGUGGGGCCAGAUAAGGCAAUAAAAGCAGGCUUCCCAAGUGAGCAGUGUGCAGGCAACCCACUCAGAUUUUUUUCCGUGGUGUGGAAGCUUGUUCUUUCAUUCUUGGCAAUAAAUCUCGCUGUUGUUCGCUCUUUGGGUCCGCGCUGCCCUUAUGAGCUGUAACACUCACCGUGAAGGUCUGCAGCUUCACCUCUGAAGCCAGCAAGACCACAAACUCACUGGAAAGAACAAACAACUCUGGAUGUACUGCCUUUAAGAGCUGUAACACUCACUGCAGAGGUCUGCAGCUUCACUCCUGAAAUCAGCAAGACCACGAACCCACCAGAAGGAAGAAACUCUGGACACAUGAGGAGGUUCCAUAUGAAUAUAACUUCUUGCCUAAGUUGGUUUAGGUAAGAAGACUCUUCAUGUGCCUGUUUCCUUCAAAUUUUAAGGAGAGCUCUUGCAUGGUGGUAGAACCGAGGACAGCCUAGACCUUCUGAUUGUCAACUCCUUGUUCCAUUGUGUCCAAACCUACAUGUCUGAACUCCUCUCAUCAAAGACUUCUCAAAGUUAUUAAUAACUGGGGAUCACGUAUUCAGUAAUUACACACAUCAGGCUCCAUGCUUUCUGUGCAGUAUGUAAAUUGAUUCAUUGUCAUACUAAUUAUAAAUGGCUAGUAUUAUUGCUGCUUUACAAAUGAGGCAUAUGACACACAGGGAGCUAAAUAAUUUGCCUAAGGUCACCCCACUUGUAAAUGAUGAAGCCAGGACUCAAGGCCAGGUCUGGCCACCCCUGAAUUUAAUAGCUUUAUCCUCUAUAUCUCUGUUUUCUCCCAGACCAAGGUGUCUGUACCUCUCUGCCAACAGAGAAAAGGGUUCAUUCAUUCAUCAAAUGUUUGUUGAGCAUCUAUUGUGACUCAGGCAAUAUCCUAGAUCAAGGAUUGUCAAACUUUUUCUAUAAAGGACAAGAGAGCAAACAUUUUAGGUCUCCUGGGUCAUACGGUCAGUCACUGUGAUUCAACUCUGCUGUUGUAGUACAAGAUUGUGAAAGCAGCCAUAGAUGAUAUGUCAAUGAAUGAGCAUGGUUGUGUUCCAAUAAAAUGUCACUUGCGAAAGCAGGCUGUGGGCUGGGUUUGGGCCAAGAGUUCUAUCCCUGCUCUAGGCAC
rnacentral:lncRNA from 1 species